AUUCCGGUAGCAUAGUGGUUAGAGCGUUGGCCUUGGAUGCGUGAGGUCUCGGUUUCGAACCCAAGCCAAGAUG